AAUGUUACAAUAUUGCCCCUAACACUUUUUUCAAUUAUCAAAAUUACCUAUCCUCAUAUCCUUGGACUUUACUUCCUUUUUUUAUUGAGAGGGUUAGUUUAGGUAUUUCUUAAGAUUUACAUAAUAAAGACAAAAAAAUAACAUGCAUUUAGUAAAAAUGAGAGUGCAAAAAUAAAAAAUUUAAUUAUUUUUUUAAGAAAAAAUGACAAAUAGGUGGCUGUUUGUAAUUGUUAUAAAAAAUUAACUUUAUGCUUCUCAAGAGAGAUUUUAAAUUCUUGUUAAGCAAAACCUGUUAAAGUAUUUACAAGUAUUGUGGCAUUAUGAAUUUAAGGAGCUGAAUUGUGACUACUGAAAGGUUUUAAAAUAAUGUUUUUGUAAAUUUGUCUAUAAUUUCCUUACCCUUAAUUUUAAAAAAAAUAAAUAUUUUUAAAAUUUUUAUUAAAAAUACAUUACCAAGUAAAAAAAAUACUAUAUGUUUGAAGAAAUUUAACCAAAAAAAAUUAAACGAUAGGUGGCGAUUUGUCAGAAAACGGAAACAGCUGCAGACAAAGGAACAGUAACUCUAGUAUGGAGAGUCGCAUUAGUUGGUUAUCUAUAUUUGUAACUAAGUCAAAUAAGGGCUAUUUCAGAUUUUUGUCUUUAAAAUUGGGUAACGGGUAGAAGCAGAAGUUGAGAAGCAUGUGUUUGAUAGUUUCUAAAAAAUAGCUAUUUGGUCCAUUAAAAAAACUAAAAAAGUUGUCAUCUGCUUAAAAAAAUAAAUCGCAGACACUUUAAAUACUAAAAACGGCUCAAAAAAAUAAUUGCAAACACCCAAAUUGUGUAAAAUAUGUUUUAGGAUUAAUAUUUUUUUUUUGACAUUAUGUGUACCUUAAUUACCACCUAAUAAAUUGCCAUUAACUUGACCCACGAACACUUACGAGUGGGCCAACUGGGCCAUGUUUAUUUGGUCUUACAUUUCCCAAUUAGCAAGUCGAAUUGGAUCAGGAGCCCAUUGGGCCUUAUGACAAUCCGUUCACUUAGUUAGCUUAGAAUCUUGCCCCUUGAAAAUGUUAGGAUAUUUGUAACGUGUGGAAAGAAAAAGAAAAGAAGAGAAAGUGAACAAAUUAAUUAAAAGUAAAAUUUUAGAAAUGAUAAUUUUAUUUCUCUUUUGUUUAAUUUUCAAUGAAAUGAAAUGAAAUGAAAAAGGAAAGAAAAAUAAAUUAAAAAUAUUUUUUUUCUAUUUCAUUUUAGAAAAAAGAGGAAAGACAAUGAUAAAAAUUUUAAAGGUAAAUUUCACUGACCUCCCUUGAAGUUUCUUAUAAUAGUCACAUCUCUAUGUAGUUUCUGAAGUUGUACUGGCAUUCUUUACUUUGAAAUUAUUGUCCAUAUUUCUCUUAUGAGCUAAUUUUGUACAAAGAUGACAAAUAUUUUCUAAUGUUUAUGGAUUCCGAAAAAAAUAUUCACAAUACACUAAUUAAAUAAAUAAAAAUUCUUUUUUUUAAAAAAAUUAUAACAAAAUUUAUUUUUAAAGUAUGUUUAGAUUAGGAAUACUUAAAAAGUAAAAUAUUUGGAUCAAUUUUAAAAUAAUAAUUGAUACAAAGUUUUAUUUUUUUAAUUAUGUAUUGAUUAAGAUUACUUAAAAAAUAAAUUAUUUAAAUUAUUUUUUAAAAAAAUUACGUGUUGGUAAAAAAUAGAAAUGGAAUAGGUUAAAAAUAAAUUGAUUUUAAGAAGGAAAAAAAAUAAUAUAUUUUUUAAUUUUAAUUAAUGUAUCGAGAAAAAAGAUUUUGAAACCUCUAAAUAUAUGGGAGAUUUUGUCAUUUUUGCACAAAAAAAUUGCUCUAGGAAAAUAUUGAUAAUAGUUUCAAAAGUAAAAGAGAUCAGUAUAAUUUUAAAAAUUACAAGGGAGGUGAUUGUAUUUAUUAGAAACCUCAAAAGAAGUCAGUGUUAUUUACUCAAAUUUUAAAUAAACAAAGAGAAAAGAGGGGGAAAAAAGGAAGAAUAUAAGAAGAAAAUUUCUAAAUUGUAAGGAGAAUAGAUUUUUAGUUACUUUUCCUCCUAAAACUAGGAAUCAAAUUAAAGAAGUGAAAAAAUUUAUUUUGCUUUCGUUUUCAUUUAUUUUCCCAAGUCCCAAACAUAGCCUUAGGGGUAACUUCGUUACAUCUGUUUGGCGUCCGGGACUUGGCCAUCUCCCGAAUUUCUUCUACUUUUAUCUCCAUCUCCCUGGUUUGGAGCCAUUGCUCUCAUUGAUUCGUCUUCCAUUGGUUUCCAAAUCCAGCCACAGCCGAAGAUGGACGGACAGGGGGUAAACCCGUUCCGUGGUCAGCCGGUCACACCGCGUGGUGGUGGAAUGACAGAUGUGCCAUCGGUACCCCUUGUGGCCAAUCGCCGACUGAGAAACUCCAUGGUUUUGGGCCUACUCUGCUGUCUUCGUUGUCGUCGACGCAAUUAUUAGUGAUUCGAUUUCACGAUGGCGGGUGGGGGUAGGAAGAGACUUGUGAUUUGAGUUGUUGAUUCGGGCGGU
rnacentral:lncRNA from 1 species